UGACAAAUUCUGACGUUUUUAAUUUUUCCAACGAAUUAUUUUAGUUCAAAAGUUCAUGUGAAAGUGUUGUGUUCUUUUAAACUAUUUCUGGGGAUCUGAUCUGCUCUUUUGACUAACGACUGUGCUUUGUUCUUGAUAUCUGCAAUAAUUGUUUGACCCUGAUUCUCCCUUGGACCUUGUGAUAGAUACUUUAACGAUUGACUAAACGCUGUGCAUACCGGACUUUUGUUUCGAUUUGGAUUUUAACUUUCAUUAUGCCUAGAAAGUCUGCCUUCAAGUGCUAUUUUGGAUGUAGUCCUUAUAAAGGAAGAGUUCAUCACUUCCCACCAAAGGAAUACCCUUAUGAGGAAAAAUUUAAUCACUGGAAAAUGGUGUUAAAUGAUUCAGAUUAAGAAAAGGGGGACACAUACAUAUACAACAACAUACAUAACUGUAAUCACCAUUUUGAAGAUUUCUAUAUAACAGCCAGUGGACGUCUUACUAAAAAUGCUGUUCCAACAUUGAAUAUUGGAACACACCAAGCUGCCAAUCAUGCAAUGUACCUGCCUACAUGUACUACUGAGCAUAACAAAAUAUCUGAUAAUGCAGAUGCCAAUUCUGGCCAAGGGAUAACAUGUGAAAUUGUGCCAUUGAUUGAGAAUCCACCUGCAGUGAUUUCACUAAUACGUUUUUGUGACAAAAAAGGCACAAAAUCCGGUAAAGUGAAAUGUUCCAAUGAAUAUGCUCAGUUGAAAAUUAAACAUUUAAAACUUAAGGAAAAAUGAAAAACCUAACCUUACUUAAGGAAAAAAAAAUUUUGUCAGCACAAUGCCUCGAAGGAACACUAACAAGGAAAGAGACUACACUAGAAGGUCACUUAACUAUCCAUCGGAGGCAUUGUGCGAGUUUAUAGAUGAUGUUUUUGCAUUGUCAUUCAAACACAAUUAAAUGAAGAACCACAGCAACAGCAUCUACAAUAAAGCAAAUUGCAAAUGUAUUUUGUAAUUGGUUACAUUUCUCCUAUGUUGCUCAUAAAGACGGAGUACAUAAUUUUUUAAUGGAUGCAAUAAUGAAUAUAAUAAUUAAUAGCUAAUGCACUAAUGUCAACAGAUUACUGAAAGGUAAAAGUAAUGUCUAAUAAUAUUGAUUUAUGUAGACCGACGCAGGAGGACUCAAGAAAAUAUCAAUA